rnacentral:snRNA from 10 species
GUGCUUGCUUCGGCAGCACACGUACUAAAAUCAGAACGAUACGGAGAAGAUCAGCACGGCCCCUGCGCAAGGAUGAUGUGCAAAUUCAUGAAACAUUCCAUAUUUUU